rnacentral:rRNA from 1 species
AUUGAACGCUGGCGGCAUGCCUUACACAUGCAAGUCGAACGGCAGCACGGGAGCAAUCCUGGUGGCGAGUGGCGAACGGGUGAGUAAUGUAUCGGAACGUACCAUUGAGUGGGGGAUAACGUAGCGAAAGUUACGCUAAUACCGCAUAUACCCUGAGGGGGAAAGCAGGGGAUCGCAAGACCUUGUGCUCUUUGAGCGGCCGAUAUCAGAUUAGCUAGUUGGUGAGGUAAAGGCUCACCAAGGCGACGAUCUGUAGCGGGUCUGAGAGGAUGAUCCGCCACACUGGAACUGAGACACGGUCCAGACUGCUACGGGAGGCAGCAGUGGGGAAUUUUGGACAAUGGGGGCAACCCUGAUCCAGCCAUGCCGCGUGAGUGAAGAAGGCCUUCGGGUUGUAAAGCUCUUUCGGCCGGGAGGAAAUCGCAUCAGCUAAUACCUGGUGUGGAUGACAGUACCGGAAUAAGAAGCACCGGCUAACUACGUGCCAGCCGCCGCGGUAA